rnacentral:rRNA from 1 species
AGCGAACGCUGGCGGCAGGCCUAACACAUGCAAGUCGAACGGACCCUUCGGGGUUAGUGGCGGACGGGUGAGUAACACGUGGGAACGUGCCUUUAGGUUCGGAAUAGCUCCUGGAAACGGGUGGUAAUGCCGAAUGUGCCCUUCGGGGGAAAGAUUUAUCGCCUUUAGAGCGGCCCGCGUCUGAUUAGCUAGUUGGUGAGGUAACGGCUCACCAAGGCGACGAUCAGUAGCUGGUCUGAGAGGAUGACCAGCCACACGGGGACUGAGACACGGCCCAGACCCAGCGGGGAGGAAGCGGGGGGUAUUCUGGCCAAAGGGGCGAAAGCUGGGCAAGCCCUGGCCGGGUAAAUAAUGAAGUUUUUGGAAGAAAAAAUUUUUUUCGCCGGGGGCAAUAAGGGCGGGCCCGGAAAAAGAAGCCCCGGCUCACUUCGGG